rnacentral:rRNA from 1 species
GACGAACGCUGGCGGCGUGCUUAACACAUGCAAGUCGAACGAUGACGACCGAGCUUGCUCGGUCUGAUUAGUGGCGAACGGGUGAGUAACACGUGAGCAACCUGCCCUUCACUCUGGGAUAACCUCGGGAAAUCGGGGCUAAUACCGGAUAUGAGCUCCUGUCGCAUGGCGGGUGUUGGAAAGUUUUUCGGUGAAGGAUGGGCUCGCGGCCUAUCAGUUUGUUGGUGAGGUAGUGGCUCACCAAGGCGAUGACGGGUAGCCGGCCUGAGAGGGCGACCGGCCACACUGGGACUGAGACACGGCCCAGACUCCUACGGGAGGCAGAAGUGGGGAAUAUUGCACAAUGGGCGAAAGCCUGAUGCAGCGACGCCGCGUGAGGGAUGACGGCCUUCGGGUUGUAAACCUCUUUCAGCAGGGAAGAAGCGAAAGUGACGGUACCUGCAGAAGAAGCGCCGGCUAACUACGUG